rnacentral:rRNA from 1 species
AACGCGUAUAGAAUCUACCUUAUACUGGGGGAUAGCCUUUGGAAACGAAGAUUAAUACCCCAUAGUAUUAUUUUUUGGCAUCAUUAAAUAAUUAAAGUUUCGGCGGUAUAAGAUGACUAUGCGUUCUAUUAGUUAGUUGGUAAGGUAACGGCUUACCAAGACUUCGAUAGAUAGGGGUCCUGAGAGGGAGAUCCCCCACACUGGUACUGAGACACGGACCAGACUCCUACGGGAGGCAGCAGUGAGGAAUAUUGGACAAUGGAGGCAACUCUGAUCCAGCCAUGCCGCGUGUAGGAAGACUGCCCUAUGGGUUGUAAACUACUUUUAUAUGGGAAGAAUAAGGUCUACGUGUAGAUCGAUGACGGUACCAUAAGAAUAAGCACCGGCUAACUCCGUGCCAGCAGCCGCGGUAAUACGGAGGGUGCAAGCGUUAUCCGGAAUCAUUGGGUUUAAAGGGUCCGUAGGCGGGCAUAUAAGUCAGUGGUGAAAGUCUGUGGCUCAACCAUAGAAUUGCCAUUGAUACUGUAUGUCUUGAAUUAUUGUGAAGUGGUUAGAAUAUGUAGUGUAGCGGUGAAAUGCUUAGAGAUUACAUAGAAUACCGAUUGCGAAGGCAGAUCACUAACAAUAUAUUGACGCUGAUGGACGAAAGCGUAGUAGCGAACAGGAUUAGAUACCCUGGUAGUCUACGCCGUAAACGAUGGAUACUAGUUGUUUGGCCUUCGGGCUGAGUGACUAAGCGAAAGUGAUAAGUAUCCCACCUGGGAGUACGUUCGCAAGAAUGAACUCAAAGGAAUUGACGGGGGCCCGCACAAGCGG